UACGUAGGCAGCGAGCGUUGUUCGGAGUUACUGGGCGUAAAGGGUGUGUAGGCGGUUGUUUAAGUUUGGUGUGAAAUCUCCCGGCUCAACUGGGAGGGUGCGCCGAAUACUGAAUGACUUGGAGUGCGGGAGAGGUGAGUGGAAUUCCUGGUGUAGCGGUGAAAUGCGUAGAUAUCAGGAGGAACACCGGUGGUGUAGACGGCUCACUGGACCGUAACUGACGCUGAGACGCGAAAGCGUGGGGAGCAAACAGG
rnacentral:rRNA from 1 species